rnacentral:lncRNA from 1 species
CAUAAUGAAAAUGGGUUGUUGGUAAAUAUUCUUAGUCCCACAGCGCCAACGGACGUGAAUGCUCGUGACAGUGGAAAUAUACAAGGGAAAAACACAGGAAAUAUCGGGGAUACCUGAUUUUGACGUUUCGCAAUUUUAUUCGCGCCAAUAUUUAUAUAGCUUUUUUUUACAGUUUGCUGUGGCGGCGUGAAGCGGAAAUGUUUUGUUGCGGCAAAAUAUCAAUUUGGAUGUUAUGGGCGGAAUGAGAUCGUGAUAUUAAUAACAAGUAUUGCAAUGGAUACUGAAGGGAACCACUGAAGCAUGAAGAUAUGAACGAAGUUCUUCGUAUUGUUAGUACUGAAAAUAUUAUCGUAUUUUGUUUUAUUUAUUUGCGCACCUUAUUAAUCCAGCGGAGUGUAUUAUGCUAUACGUAUACACUUUAAAACAUUAUGGUGUACUUAAUAAAUUAAGAAAAUGACAUGAUAAAUGACGAUGGAUACAUGAUAUCAUCAUCAUCCUCAGACCUGUAAUAUAUACUGUCCUACUGCUGGGCAUGGGCUCCUCUACUACUAAGAGGGAUAAGGCCUUUGUCCUCCACGCUGGCCUAGUGCGGAUUGGUAGACUUCACACCUUCAAAAUUCUUAUUGGCAACUUCUUAGGUAUGCAGGUUUCCGCACGGUGUUUUCCUUCACCAUUAAAGCAAGCGAUAAUUUACAAAGAAUACACAAAUAAUUUUUAGAAAAGUCAGAGGUACGUGCCCUUAGGUUUUGAACCUGCGUGUAUUCGUCUCAGUAGUCCGUUCUACACCCAACUAGGCUAUCGACGCAACAUCAUAUGGCUGUAUUUUUUACUUUUAAUAUAAGACAAGACAGUAGCUUACUUAUAAGUGACCGCAGAGGAGUGCAUUAUGCUAAUAUAUAAAAUGAAAUACACGCACACAUACAACAUCACGCAUUCAUUCCCGAAGAGGUAUAUACCAGGCCACCCACUUUUCGCCAAGUAUGUUGAUGUAAUAGGGAGCGAGCCUAUCGCCAUAUCGGGCACAAAUUCCAGGCUCAGGGCUGAUACCGAACAGUAAAACCUAUAUGUUAUUUUGCCCUACCCGGGAUUCGAACCCACGACUUCAGAGCGCUGCGCUACCGCGCAUAAAGUACAACUACGCCACCGAAGCAGUCGAACUAUAUGUUAUGAAUAUUUGUUAUACCGUAUUUAAUAUUUAAUUUAAAAAAACAUUGAAAUAAAAUUGCAUGUGUGCAGAAACUAGACCACAGGGAAACUUAAAUAUCUUUAAGUUUUAAAAUUUAAUAAUUAUAAAAACAGCACGCCCAAUUUUCGAAAAUGAUCGUGGGAUGCUCUACUGGGAUCCAUCUAUCAUCCCAGACAGGACUAUGGUUGCCAAUAAGCCUGAUAAUGUGGUAGUAGAUAUAUGUUGCGCCGAGCAACAUUUGGUGACGUCACCAUUCCGCACAACCUUGUUAAAGCCGUAGAGGCCGAAAGAGAUUUUUAUAUGCAUUGAUGUUUUAAGGUAUAUAAAAAUAUUAAAAAAAGUUGUAAAAUGAAGAGUAAUAGAGUACAUAAAGUCGGGAAAUAAAACCCUUUAAUUUCUUGUUUUUUAUAAGAUCAGAUUUACUUUAUCUAAACGUAAAGUUGUAAUCGAAUAUAAUUAUCGUAAGUAAGAGUUGGAACUUCUUACAAGGCGUUGGUCGACUUCGCAACUUGGGACGAAGUUUUGUUAUCGAGUGUGUCAUAAAAUAUCUAACUUCUCUAUUAUAGUAAAGCUAUUUCUGACGCCCUCAAAAGUGAUAAACUUUACUGUUUCCUCAAUUAUCCGUAAUUAGGCAACACAGACAUUUCUCUAUUUAGAUACCUUUUACACAAAGUUUUAUUAUAAAGAAUAAUAUGAUCGAAAUGAAAGUGAAAUAUUUGACGUUUAAAUAAAAUAAAUAAUGACCA